UACGUAGGGCGCAAGCGUUGUCCGGAAUUAUUGGGCGUAAAGAGCUCGUAGGUGGCGUGUCGCGUCUGCCGUGAAAGCCCAUGGCUUAACUGUGGGUCUGCGGUGGAUACGGGCAGGCUGGAGGCUGGUAGGGGCAAGCGGAAUUCCUGGUGCAGCGGUGAAAUGCGCAGAUAUCAGGAGGAACACCGGUGGCGAAGGCGGGUCUCUGGGACGGUACUGACGCUAGACGCGAAGCGUGG
rnacentral:rRNA from 1 species